CUUGCGAUAGCUCAGUUGGUAGGGCGAAGGACUGUAGUUCCAGUUAGGUCAUUGGUUCAAACUCAGCUCGCAAGA